rnacentral:rRNA from 1 species
GACGAACGCUGGCGGCGUGCUUAACACAUGCAAGUCGAACGGGCUCUGUCUGGCUGUGUGCUGGGUGGGGUUAGUGGCGAACGGGUGAGUAAUACGUGAGUAACCUGCCCUCUUCUUUGGGAUAAGCCUUGGAAACGGGGUCUAAUACUGGAUAUUCCUGUCUGGUCGCAUGGCUGGGUGGGGAAAGUUUUUUUCGGUGGGGGAUGGGCUCGCGGCCUAUCAGCUUGUUGGUGGGGUGAUGGCCUACCAAGGCGUCGACGGGUAGCCGGCCUGAGAGGGUGACCGGCCACACUGGGACUGAGAUACGGCCCGGACUCCUACGGGAGGCAGCAGUGGGGGAUAUUGCACAAUGGGCGCAAGCCUGAUGCAGCGACGCCGCGUGGGGGAUGACGGCUUUCGGGUUGUAAACCUCUUUCGUCGGGGGACAAGGCUCUGCUUGGUGGUGGGGUUGAGGGUACCCGGUGAAGAAGCGCCGGCUAACUACGUG